rnacentral:rRNA from 1 species
UGGGGAAUAUUGGACAAUGGGCGAAAGCCUGAUCCAGCCAUGCCGCGUGGGUGAAGAAGGCCUUCGGGUUGUAAAGCCCUUUUGUUGGGAAAGAAAACUUUCCGGUUAAUACCCGGAGAGAAUGACGGUACCCAAAGAAUAAGCACCGGCUAACUUCGUG